ensembl:lncRNA
GGUCCAUUUUCAUCGUGCCGCCAUCCCUUUCAGAUUCCUGCUUGGCUUUCAAUUCUUCCUACCCUGAUCUCCUCAAGUUCUCGCCACAUCCUUUUUCAUCAUCAGCAGGUGUCCAUACAAUUUUCGAUUCACUCUGGCAAACCACUCUAAGAACUAGCACAUACCCUAAGACUAGAUGCCUUGCAGCUGGUCCUGAUUGGUCAGGACAAGACUUCCACACAUAUGAUGACAAGAAGGCAAAUCAAACCAUACAAGUUUGAAGUCUGAAUUGAGAGGUUUCCCUUGUUCCAAUGAUCUGAUUGCCCAUGUCCAGCACUGGUGAUCUGAUCAUCGUAAGCGUCAUCAUACCGAUGAGACAGUAAGUAACUUCUGCAAGGUCGCAGUGAGCGUGAUGCAGACUGGGAUUUGAAACCUACUCCAGAGUUCAUCCUCUCAAGGAUUCAGCUUUGUUUCAUACCCCAUACCCUAGAAGAGAGGGAAACCCCCGGCUCUGUCCCUGGAAGGCCGUUGGCACUAACGGCAUGGUGAUUGCUGGAGCAUUUGCCAUCAUUUUCCCUGCUGAUGGCUAAAGGCUCAGCCCUUGGAGACAGGCAAC